UUGCAGCGGAUAUGUUGUGGCUCUUCGAGGAUAGCUCACAUUGCUUAGUUGCGCAGAGAACUAGGAGAUCUCAUCUAACUAUCUUGGCUGAGCUUGUUCAAUUGACAAGAUACGGCAGGAAAGUACAGCUUAUCCAGAGACACCAAUUGGGAGAGGUACAACAUAUGCAUUUCAAAGAGAACUGGACUCUGCU